UAAUAAUAGCUCUGAUUUAAAUGCCCUAAAAAUAUUAAAAAAUGCAUUUGUGACUGAAAAACUCUAAAGAUUGCCCUUUAAUAAAUUAAACUGGCUAAAAGCGCCUUAAAAUUGGCCACACGCACCACCGAUAUAAUAUUUUCGCUCAAUAAGAAAAUACUUCAAUGAAAGUUGCUUUGUCUAAUUUAAAAUCAGAUUACCAGAUGUUAAAUUAUUUAAGAUAAAAAUUAUUUAAAUUACGUAGUACUAUGUUUAUAUUUCAAUGAAGUUAAUUUUUUAGUAAUAAUACGAGAAAUACGUCUAAAAUAUCUUCAAAUGCGUUACAAAUGACGAAAAUGCCCUUAACAUUUUUUUAUAGUUACAUCACAGAGUACUUAAAAUAUAUUUGUAGCUUAGAUAGCCUCAUGUAAGAUAUUCCAAAAAAAAAAAUAUGCAAAUGUAUUGAAAUCCGAGCUCUAAUUAUCAAAUAUAUAAAAACACAAAUAUAGUUAUUUGUUUUUUAUUUUAAGUUAUAGGCAAUGAACCGAAAAACUAUUUGAUAUUACAAUGUAAUAUUCAAUUAAUUUAUUGGUACUGUUUAACUUUAACUGCAAAUUAAAGUUGGGUAAUAAAUUAACAAUAGGAUAGUAUUCAAAG